rnacentral:SRP_RNA from 1 species
CGGCAAGUCUUAUACGACCAGCUCCUCCAAUUCCCCCAGGGUAGGAAUACAGCAAGGGUAAGGAGUUGUAGCGGUGCGAUAUAAGUAACUUGCCACUU